UGUACUCUUUGUGUUUAUUUGAUUUUCCACCUUGUCUUGUUGCAAACAGUGAAACACUGGAGAAAUGCUGGGUAUAUAUAAACAUGUAUAUAAUAUAUAUAGUAUAUAAAUAUAUAAUUUGUGCACAACCCUGAGAAAAAAAAAGAUGAUCAAGUCAACAUUGAGUUUGUGAUUGUUAUGCUGGCAAAUGUCAGUCUAUUUAAUUCCAAAAAAGAAAGAAAAAAAAACAUCCAUUUAUUUUCUUCUCCAAAACGUGACCAUGCUGGAGUUCCAGUCGAUGCAAAUGUAUUUCAAUGGACUCCACAGUUGAACCGCGUCAAGCUGUCUGAUGAGCUCAUGCUGGCGUUGAAUGUAUCAGAUCCAUUGUUCUUCAGGUAGAGGAUAAUGAGCCAUGGUCAUAGUUUUUUCCCCACCUGUAAUGAUUGUAAUAUUGCACGUGAGCAGGGUUUGUGUGUGUGUGUGUGAGGGGGGGGGGGGCAUGUACUGUACACAUGCACAAGACAAACAAGUUGCGCGUAAGCAUUCAAAUGCUGUGACUGGAUUGAUGCAUGUAGAAUUGGAUUGUGGCUUAGAAUAAUCAACUUCCAACUCAUGAAUGAUCAAGUCGAAACUUCUUUUUCAUGACCACUGGUACCCCCACCCUUUCCCAACAAACACUCGCAUAGCUUUGUGCAUGAACAUAUAUUUAACAGGACUACUAAGAGAUACUUAAGAGUACAACUUUAAACUUGUGACAGUCUUAAAAUAACCGAAUGUAUUGUACUUGGAUUGUUGCUGUCUGGCUGCACUUAUUUUGAGAUCAAAUAUUUCUGGGGUCGGGUGGGGUGAUGCAGUCCCCGAGCUGGUCUUGUUUUCUACUGUGUAGACGAGGCCUCACGUACAUGUGAGGUGGUUUUAAAGAAUCCUCAUGCUCCAGAAAAAACUAAUAUUUGUACAUCUAUAGUAUGAAAACUGUCAAUAAAGGCUCAUAUUCCAGGGCUAUAAUUUUUGUUUCUGUCAACCAGUUAAAAAAAAAAAAAGAAAGCAAACAAACUGCUGACACCUGAGUUAUCUAAGUUAUUGUGUACUGUGCAUGCAACAACACAUUUGGAGAGACUUUUAGAGAGGAAGAGAAAAAACUUUUUUUUUCCCAGCCUCGUGAGAACUAACGGGCGCUCAUCCUUGAGAAGACUACACUUUGUUGCUGAUUUGAAAAGAAAGAAAAAAAAAGUCAGGUGUUGUAUGGCCUUGGUCCCAUCAUGGAAUGUGAAUUGUUCUGUGCUGCCACAAAUGUAUUUAGGAUUAGCUUAAUAUUGUAUAUGGCUGUAUGUUACGUUUUCAGAAGAGGAUUACGUUAAAUCAUUGAAUAAAUGAUAUACAUUGUAAA